CGGUGCCAAUAAGGACGCGGAUCUCAGGACGUGCAGGACGAGGCAGCGCAGCAAGGACACAGAGUGAAGCACAUUUUAAUGAGGGGACGCAGAUAAAGAGUGAACAGACGCGUAGACAGCGAGAAGAAAAUCAGCAGUAUCCAGUAUUUCAUCGGGUCUCUGGACACUGAAGUCUGAAGCUCCCUGUCCAUCCAUCAUCGAUCCUACAAAGACAUCACACCCGGAGAAAAUCGUGCCUGCUUUGUGUCACAUCUUGCAUCCUUUUUGCUUCACUUUCUACAGCUCUGUGCCGUCAUGUGACCCUUUAUCUCCCCACUGCAGAAAGGCGGACAGUCCGCAGGGAAAUCAUGAAUUUGACAGACAUGUCUGGGUCGAGCUCUGCAGAUAGGUCGAGGUUGAGCAGCUGUUUUUUUUUUUUUUUUUAAAGUUUGAUUUUUGCUCUUCAAUAUCAGUUAAAACAACAGAUUUAGAGGCAAAUUUGAGAAACUGAAGUUUUUGCUGAUAUGAGAUAUGAGGCUGUCAGCUGUGACGUGCCUACAUCAGACGACCUCUGUGUAAAAUGUCUUUGCUUGUCAAAAGAGAGCUUAUCAUUCGCCCUGGCUGCUGUAGUGCACUGACGUCCUGUUCCAGGAUUAGACGGCGUGGAGGGUGGUGGUGAUGGAGUGGUAAAUAGUGACUGAGUGGUUGGUUGCUGGGCCGCCGUGCCAUUCGGUGAUACUGUCAGCUUACAUUAAGCGGUCGCGCUGGUGAAGCGCAGCAUCAUAAUUCCAUUAAACGGUGACCUGGUGAGGAGACGAUGAACUGUCAGCAGAGCUGCUGUGGCUGUGAUGAGGCGGCUUAAGUGCGAGCUGUGGAAGAAGUGUUGUCACGAUGGUUUAACUCGGCUUACUUCAUAUUUGAGAGAAAGCUCGUGGAAGAUUUGCGUACUUUCCAAUCAGCUCACUUAUAUUUAUGUCUUUCUUCACUUCUUUCUCUCCUCAGGCAUCUCUAUCAUGGGUGUGAAGAUGUUACAGUGCUUUCCCUUCUACAGACGCUGCAAAGAGCGCUGCAAGAGCAGGCAGUGCCCGCCCCCUCCAGUGCCUGUGGAGGAGAUGAAGCCACGUCUGUCCUCUACGACAUCCUGGGGCAGUGACAGCGAAGGAACAGGAAGCAUCAAUCGGGGUUCCCAGAUCUAUUUCUCCACCAAGGCCCGGCUUUCUUUCAGACACCAGCUGGACAGCAACAUCAAUGCAGUGGAUGCCACCUACUGAGGAAGACCCAGGGCUUCAUAGGACUUGAAUGGACUCAGUUUUCCAUCGCCGGUUUAUGCUUGGAGCCCGCUAGUAGAGCAAACACAUUUUGACGCCACCUUUAAAUGGGAAUGGCGGUAGAGUUGCGGAACCACAGUUUGUCUUUUAACUGCUUGUUCCUCGCUGCUCGCACACAACUGCUAAUGAUUCGUCAGAUUCAAAGGACAGAGGGAAAAGGACUGGGAUGAGACGGCGCUCAGAAGUCAGACGAGUAGAUCCGCUGCCCAAUCGGGCAUACUGAUGAGGGCGAGGACAAUGUAGAGAGUUGUUUACAGCGUUCACUACCAAUAAGUGCAUUACUUUGUCUUCUGUUUGGAAGGUGUUUUUUUUUUCUUACUGUGUUUCUUUUAUAUUUCUUUUUUUUUUUUGACUACCUUUGUAGAAAAAGAUCAAUUUGCUGAUUAGAUCAUGGCUGGAGUUAAUUAAGGCUGUUUCACAAAGCAAGAGGAGGAAGAUAGCAUUGAGUGUGAUGAAGUGUGUGACUAUCUAAACCUCAUCAUUAAGUCAUCAUCGUGAAGUAACUUUCUAAUCCUGCUCUGUGACACAGAACCCUGCUAGUUUAAAGUGAGAUAAUAAAACAGAAAAUGGUUUGCUGUUUUAUAAAAGACAUUAACUGUAAAAACAUGAGGUGGGACUGUGUGCAACAUCUGCUGACCAGGUCUGAGCCUGUUUAACAGCAGUGUUGUUAAUAGUUAAUAUUCAUCUGUGAGAUCUACGGUGGCCCUGAUACUUCAGAAAGGCUUGCUGAAAUCCAGUUGUGUUGUGCACCACAGGGCAACCGUAUGAAAUAAGCCGAGCUACACAGCAGCUUAUUUCUGAUAGGUAUUUUCUUAGUCUUGCUUGAUUCUGAUCAAUAUUUUUAAUUAGAAAAAAAGACGCUCUGGCUGUGUUUUUAAAUUGCACGUUUUUUGUUUUUUUUUUUUUUGUAAGAAAACCUUUCUGUAUUUGCCCAAAUUGAAAAACUAUGACUGUUAAAUGCUGAUCAAAAAAAAAAAAAGACUAAUGAUCACUUGUUCAAAUCCAGAGUAUGUCAAAAAUAUCUUCAUUCUAAACUAAGCAAAUAUAAAAUAAGUUGUAACAAAA
ensembl:lncRNA